UGUCGAAUUCGUUUAUUUGCACCGCCUGCACCGCUUUGCCACCGGGUGUAGCAAACUUGCACCGAAAGCGUUCGUUUAUUCGCAGAUCCUGUUCUGUUUUGACACUCGAUUGGCACCGGUGCAAGAAAAUGCUACACCCAGAUUGAGCUCGGUGUAGCAGGUACAAAGCUAGUUUUACCAAUACAUGCAUAUCGCUGAACUUGUAUCGUGGUUUUGUUUUGGUAGAAAUGAUUAAUUUCUUUUCGGCAUUAGGUAAAUAAUUUUCUUGGAUUAUUUGUUUAUUUUGAGAUGUUUUGUUUUCAAACAGCAAUCUGUGCAUUUACAAAAUAUUUAAACUUGAUCGGCUUUCAACUUCUGAGGAAUCUUCAAAAUUUAUCGGUGAAAUGAAAUUUCAAAGAGUUGCUACAGCGUAUAUUUUUCCCAUCACUACUUUUUUUUGUUAUCGCAAAUAUUCAAGGAAAAUCACACUUU